CCUACGGUAGGCAGCAGUGGGGGAUAUUGGACAAUGGGGGAAACUCUGAUGCAGCGACGCCGCGUGAGCGAAGAAGUUUUUCGGUAUGUAAAGCUCUAUCAGCAGGGAAGAAAAUGACGGUAGCUGCCUAAGACUCUCCGGCUCAUUACGUGCCAGAAGCCGCGGUAAUACGUAUGGGGCAAGCGUUAUCCGUCGUUACUGGUAGGAAAGGGUGCGUAGGCGGUAAGGUAAGUCUGUUGUGAAAGGCCAGGGCUCAACCCUGGAAGUGCUUUGGAAACUGUUGAACUGGAGUGUCGGAGAGGCAAGUGGAAUUCCGAGUGUAGCGGUGAAAUGCGUAGAUAUUAGGAGGAACACCAGUGGCGAAGGCGGCUUGCUGGACGAUGACUGACGCUGAGGCUCGAAAGCGUGGGGAGCAAACAGGAUUAGAUACCCCUGUAGUC
rnacentral:rRNA from 1 species